GUCUCACAGUUUGAGUCCUGGCUCAGACGAACGCUGGCGGCGCGCCUAAUACAUGCAAGUCGAGCGAGAAGACGUAGCAAUACGUUUGUAAAGCGGCGAACGGGUGAGGAAUACAUGGGUAACCUACCUCGAUGGGGGAUAACUAGCCGAAAGGUUAGCUAAUACCGCAUACGGCUCCUGGUCCUGCGGAUCAGGAGAGAAAAGCGAUACCAUGGGUAUCGCGCUCUUGGAUGGGCUCAUGUCCUAUCAGCUUGUUGGUGAGGUAAUGGCUCACCAAGGCUUCGACGGGUAGCUGGUCUGAGAGGACGAUCAGCCACACUGGCACUGCGACACGGGCCAGACUCC
rnacentral:rRNA from 1 species